rnacentral:piRNA from 1 species
UCAAAGGCAAAGUGAGGCUGAGUGUGGAAAC